GACGAACGCUGGCGGCGUGCCUAAUACAUGCAAGUUGAGCGCUGAAGGUUGGUACUUGUCCCAACUGGCUGAGCAGCGAACGGGUGAGUAACGCGUGGGGAAUCUGCCUUUGAGCGGGGGACAACAUUUGGAAACGAAUGCUAAUACCGCAUAAAAACUUUAAACACAAGUUUUAAGUUUGAAAGAUGCAAUUGCAUCACUCAAAGAUGAUCCCGCGUUGUAUUAGCUAGUUGGUGAGGUAAAGGCUCACCAAGGCGAUGAUACAUAGCCGACCUGAGAGGGUGAUCGGCCACAUUGGGACUGAGACACUGCCCAAACUCCUACGGGAGGCAGCAGUAGGGAAUCUUCGGCAAUGGACGAAAGUCUGACCGAGCAACGCCGCGUGAGUGAAGAAGGUUUGCGGAUCGUAAAACUCUGUUGGUAGAGAAGAACGUUGGUGAGAGUGGAAAGCUCAUCAAGUGACGGUAACUACCCAGAAAGGGACGGCUAACUACG
rnacentral:rRNA from 1 species